UUGGACCUGAUAUCAAACAAAGACUAACCCGCUGAACAUUAAGCA
rnacentral:rRNA from 1 species